CCCCACAGGCACCCAUACCAGAACUUUAAUUCUCCUUUCAUUUCGCUGCCAGAACUCUGGAAGCUUGAUAACGGCAGCAAAAACAAAAGUAACGGCCGCCUGGCAAGAAACUGGGUCCGAAACCACACAGCUGGCGGCAGCAUCUGGUUUUAGGCCCAGAAGGUCCAAUUUGAUAUCAACGGACCAUAACACAAAAGAUCUUACCCAGCUCAGAAUUUCUCUGCAAGACGAGGAUCCUGUUUUGCGAUUCUUCCUUCAACCUCAGCCAGAGGUAAAGCCCCACCAGGCCGAGCAGCGUGGGCACCAGGGCAAAACACACCAGGGGGAAAACGUCGUUGAUGAUCUUCUGCCACUGCGCCUGCGGUGAGAGAGAAAUCACCUCCACCUCGAACUCAAGCGUAGCAUCACCUGCGACAGAUGCGGUAUUUUGCUGUCAUCCACCAACUUUUUCUCGCCUGUGAGACUUACCCUUCACAAACACCAAUCAAGCUUUGCUCCAGACCUCAAUGACUGUCCUCUUCCCCAACACGAGAACGAGAGGAUCCUUGGACAGCGAGGAGUCGAUCAACUGCCCAUCCAUCAGCUUUCCCUGAGCAAUCAGAGAAACAGGAACAGGA